AUUUUAUCAAUAUUAACCCUUUGUCUUUCAUAGUCUGAAAAUUUAAAGUUAAUAUUUCAAAUGUCAUUAUUUCCAUAAUGAAAAAAUAUUGAAAAACAAAUGUUUUCCCUCUAUUUGCUAAAACUUUAUCCUUUUUUUUUUUUAGGGCACCACUCUUCCUUAUAUUGCACUACUUAGCCUUCAAAUUUCAGAGAGUAUUACAAAUGAAGUCUCUUUGACUCUGUUUUCUCAUCAUUUUCCCAAGCCAUGGUCAACAGCUUCAAGAGAUCGAUAACAGUGGUAAGAGAGAGACAUUUUAAGGAAAUGGCUCACAAAAUUGUGGUGGAUGGCAAGUCCAAAACCUGCAGGGAAGGCUGGCAGGCUGGAGACCCCGGGAAUAGCAGAUGUUGCAGUCUGAAGACAGCUUAUAGGCAGAGCUCCCUCUGUAAGUGUCUGUGUUCUAAUCUCCUCCUAUUAUAGGGACACCAGUCAUAUUGGGUUAGGACCCACCCUAAUGAACUCACAGAACUGAAUUACCUCUUUAAAGACCCUGUCUCCAAAUACAGUCUUAUUCAUAGGUCUUGAGGGUUAGGAUUUAAACAUAUGAAUUUGGUGGGGGACAUGGGAGGACACAACUCAGCCCAUAAUACUUCAUACUCUGACAUCACUGAAUUCAUGUCCUUCUCACAUAAAAAAAUACAUUGACUGCAACCCACUUGCCUGCAAAGUCUUAAUCCCUUAGAUCAUGCAUCACAUGCCCAUCAUAUCUUCAACAAAUAAUCAUCCAGCCACAACCUUGAUGUUCUCUCAGGAGCAGCCUUCCCCAGUUUUUAGAAGAGAGAUAGGCUUAGAAUUCCCCUAGUCUUCAAGUUCCUGGUCCUUUUUGCUUAACAAUUCCUGCUUCAGUUUCUCUCUCUCCUCUUGCAUUUACUGUGAACAGCAAGGAGAAACCAGGCCAUGCCUUCAAGAGCUUGCUUAAAAAUCUCAUGUCAGUAUCCAGAUUCAUCACUAACAGGUUCUACUUUCCACAAAACAUGAAAAUGCAGUUUGGCCAAGUUCUUUGCCACUAUAACAAUGAUUGCCUUUCUUCCCAUUUCAAAUAAUAUGUUCCCACAUUUCUGUUUCAGGCCUCAUCAAAAGCAGCUUUAAUAUUUAUAUUUCUACCACUCUUCUGUUUAUGAUGAUGUAUGUAUAUCUGUAAGAUGAUAGGAGCUUUUUCUACAGCUUUCCUUUUUUUCUCUCUGAGCCCUCUUCAGAAUCACCUUUAACUUUCAUGUUUCAAUCAGCAGUCUCUUCAGGGCAGUCUAGACCUUUUCUAACUUGUUCUUCAAAACUCCUUCAGCUCUGCUCAUUACCCAGUUCUAAAGCCGCUUGAAUAUGUGUAGGUAUUUGUCAUAGUAGCACCUCUCUUCCUGGUUCUGAAGUCUGGACUAGUCGGUGUUCUUCAGAGAAACAGAAUCAGUAGGGUGUGUGUGUGUGUGUGUGUGUGUGUGUGUGUACACAGUGUGGAGGCACAAUUCCUUCUAUCCUUGUGUGUACCCUUAUCAUCUUACAAUAUAUUGCAUAUUUUAUUUAUUAUUUGUUUUGUCUGACGUAUAUCUUUUUUGUUGCUAGUAUUGGCUUAAUAGAGGCAGGUCCUUUACCAGAUAUUUUUCUUUCUGAUACCUCUUAUAGACACGAAUAAUGUUUGACACGCAUCAGAUGCUUAACACAUGCCUAUUGAAGCAGUGAAUAAAAGUAUACCCAUUUUGUUCAUGUUCCUUUUUAAGAUUCUGUAAGUUCUUCCUACUUCUCUCUUUUCUUCUUCUCCCAGGCUGCAGUAGCGCUCAGAAGUCAGAAAUGAAAAAUAAUAUUUUCUAGGUAAAACACUUGGGUUGGUGAGAAACACAGCCCAUGAAGCCCAUCCUUUGUCUUAGCUGUUUUCUGUCACUUUUUAGACUGUGUCUUGCCUAUCAAUUUUACCUGAUCUUUUCCAGCCAUUUCAGAUAUGUUAUGGCCUGGGUUCCUGGCUUCCUCCCCUCCUCAAUAAAUUACUUAAUCACUGCUAAUAGUUCUCAAUAAUUUGAUCAUUUUAAAAUGUUUCUCUAAGAUCAUCUCAAGUCCCCAUGCUCACACUGCCACUGCAUUUAUGUGUGAAAUAAAAAUUCCUUCCCAGCAAGUACAUGACCUGAUGUUGUCCCAGACUUUUAUCUACUGGGUAAAAUGACCCCUGUGUACAUGUGCAAAGAUAGGAAUUUGGAAAAUUUUGGCUUACAGUGGUAUUUAUGCCAUGACAUUGCAUGAGAUCACUAAUGUGUGCAGAUUGUGAGGAGAGAUGACUAUUGAUUAAACUCUCAGGAAUUCCAUUACUAAGUGGAUGAGAGAAAAUGAAGAAUCUGCAAAUUUAAGUUAAAAAUGCAAAAAUUAUCAAUGGUGUCUAAAGCUACUGAGAAGACGUUUAACCAGAAUCUUACCUAUCACUGUUAUGUUUAGGAGUUUGCUCAUGACAUUGGUUUUGUGAGGAUAAAACUGCACGUAGAAUGAGUGAAGAAUUACCUAAGAGUUGAGAUAAUAGAAUAAGAGAGGGAAAACGCUCUAAAAAAGUGGAGUUGUAGGGACUUCCCUAGUGGUGCAGUGGUUUAGAAUCCGCCUGCCAAUGCAGGGAACACGGGUUCAAUCCCCGGUCCAGGAAGAUCCCAGGUGCUGCGGAGCAAGUAAGCCCAUGUGCCACAACUACUGAGUCUGUAAUCUAGACGCUGCGAGCCACAACUACUGAGCCCACAUGCUGCAACUACUGAAGGCCGCACACUCUAGGGCCCACGUGCCAAAACUACUGAGCCUGCCUGCCUAGAGCCCAUGCUCCAAAACAAGAGAAACCACAGCAAUGAGAAGCCGGCGCACCGCAAUGAAGAGAAGACCCCGCUCGCCACAAGUAGAGAGAAAGCCCGUGUGCAGCAACGAAGACCCAACUUAGCCAAAAAAUAAAUUUAAAAAAAACAGUGGAGUUGCAAAGGGUGUAAGAAAUGGUAGAAUCAGAAAAUGUACUGGAUGAAAGAGUGACCUGUAAUUGUUUCAAGGUGUCCAAUAUUUAUCAAGUUAUUUUUAAGAGAUUCAAAAAGACUGAAGCGCAUUGAUGGGAUUAUCUUACAAGAGAUUUGAUAAAACAGCUUGUCUUGGCCAAGAGCUUCUCCUUAGGGUGUCUCCGUAAAGGGUCUUUGAAGACAGUGGCAGUUUUGGAAGGAAAUAUUUUCUAGAUGAUAUUGGAUAUAAACUUGUCCUUUGUCUUCACAGAGUGGGCAGGAGGAGUUGUCUUAGCCAUUAAGCUUUGCCCCAGUAUUUCAAGGUAGGUGUAAUUCAGAGUGACAUCCCCCAAGUGCAUUGGAUUCUGCUCUUUCCUCUGCUGGAUACUGUAGCGCCUGAUAAAUACCUUUAGUUGCUGUGAGUAAACUGGACCAAGAAAGAGGAAAAACAACUACAGAAAAAAUUCAUAGAUACUGUUUUUCAGUCAUUUCAGAAAGGUGUAUUGCCUCACUACAUGCAUUCAUGUUGUUCUUCAUUGACCUGAUGUGUUACGGGCUCAUGGUCUACCAGCGGCUCCAUGGGUCUUUUCCCACACAGACACAAGCAGAGAAUCCAAUGCGUUCACAGCAGCAGCCUCUCCCCUAGACUUUCCCAUGAGACCAAAGCACCAUUCUUAUCGUGCUGAGGAAAAAAGCUGCGUUCACCAUUCUCAUUCUGGUGAAUAUGUUGUCUGUUUUUACCCUCUCUUUUUAUUUUAUCUUUUUGGAUAACUCUGAUUAUGAACCCACACCAUGGUCUAAUGAACGCCUCUGCAAAGGUACUUUCGGGUUUCCCGACAUUCAUCCCUUAGUGCUUUUUGGCAGUGACACUCAGCUCUCUCAGUUUAGCUUUCCUGUUGGGCAAGGAAAACAAAUAUUCUGAGUGUAGCUCCUGGGCUAUAAGUUCUCUCUAGAACACCCCGCCAUGUAUUUAAUCAGCUUUAUAUAUUUGUAGGCUCAUGUUUUAUGUCAUUUCAUCUUCCAGAAGAUUUUGACUCAAAAUUGAUAACAGUGAUAAUAGCUCUGCUUUGUAUUACAUGUAGAGUAUAAAAACACGAAAGCUACUCAUAGUUAUUCAAAAAUAAUUUUCUAAAGGUAUAUAAUGUUAUUCACUACAGGUUCAGGGAAUUUUAUGAUAAUAUAGAGAAUGUUCAAGAUUUAGGAAUGUAGGUUAUAACAGCACUUUAAUUUAAACGUUAAACUUUAUGUUGACACUUAAGAGAUUUAUUUGAAUUUACAAAGCAUAGUGGGGAAAAUAGAUGUUUCAUUUGGAGAGCAAAAGACCUGGGAAUACUCUUGAGCUGUAAAGUCACAUAUGGAAUUCAAAGACUGAAGGAAGAUCGAUGUGUUUGUUGUAUAGUGUGCGAUGGGAAGAGUGAUGAGAAAACAAGCAGAGGAAGCAGGUGAAGGCUUCUUUUGCCAGGUAUCAGAGGAUAUCUCAGUGAUAAGAAUGAUCCGAACUUUUUGUAGGGAAGAUGAUGAGCUUGUGGGGGAUUAGUCAGAUGGGAUAAUAAUCAGUGUUGUAUAUGAUAACAAGUGUAAGUAUUCGAUUCAAAUAAAUUUACUUUAUUAAACUCUACAU
ensembl:lncRNA